rnacentral:rRNA from 1 species
UUAUUGGAGAGUUUGAUCCUGGCUCAGGAUGAACGCUGGCGGCGUGCCUAAUACAUGCAAGUUGAGCGGAUGGAUUAAGAGCUUGCUCUUAUGAAGUUAGCGGCGGA